rnacentral:rRNA from 1 species
GAUGAACGCUAGCGACAGGCCUAACACAUGCAAGUCGAGGGAAAGGGUAGCAAUACCUAAAACCGGCGCACGGGUGAGUAACGCGUAUGUAACCUGCCUACAACAGGGGGAUAGCUUUCGGAAACGGAAAUUAAUACCGCAUAAGACCGCGCUCUCGCAUGGGAGUGUAGUAAAAUUUACGGAGGUUGUAGAUGGGCAUGCGUGACAUUAGCUAGUUGGUAAGGUAACGGCUUACCAAGGCAACGAUGUCUAGGGGUUCUGAGAGGAAGGUCCCCCACACUGGUACUGAGACACGGACCAGACUCCUACGGGAGGUAGCAGUGAGGAAUAUUGGUCAAUGGGCGCAAGCCUGAACCAGCCAUGUCGCGUGCAGGAUGACGGCCCUAUGGGUUGUAAACUGCUUUUGUACGGGAAGAAAAAAGAUUACGUGUAAUCUAUUGCCGGUACCGUACGAAUAAGGAUCGGCUAACUCCGUGCCAGCCGCCGCGGUAACAC